rnacentral:rRNA from 1 species
AGUGGGGGAUAACGUAGCGAAAGUUACGCUAAUACCGCAUAUGCCCUGAGGGGGAAAGGAGGGGAUCGUAAGACCUUUCGCUUUCGGAGUGGCCGAUAUCGGAUUAGCUAGUUGGUGGGGUAAAGGCCUACCAAGGCGACGAUCUGUAGCGGGUCUGAGAGGAUGAUCCGCCACACUGGGACUGAGACACGGCCCAGACUCCUACGGGAGGCAGCAGUGGGGAAUUUUGGACAAUGGGGGCAACCCUGAUCCAGCCAUGCCGCGUGAGUGAAGAAGGCCUUCGGGUUGUAAAGCUCUUUCGGACGGAAAGAAAUCCUAUUCGCUAAUACCGGGUGGGGAUGACGGUACCGUAAGAAGAAGCACCGGCUAACUACGUGCCAGCAGCCGCGGUAAUACGUAGGGUGCGAGCGUUAAUCGGAAUUACUGGGCGUAAAGCGUGCGCAGGCGGUUUUGUAAGACAGAUGUGAAAUCCCCGGGCUUAACCUGGGAACUGCAUUUGUGACUGCAAGGCUAGAGUGCGGCAGAGGGGGGUAGAAUUCCA